rnacentral:rRNA from 1 species
CUCGUAGGUGGCCAACUAAGUCGGACGUGAAAUCCCUCGGCUUAACCGGGGAACGUGCGUCCGAUACUGGUUGGCUUGAGUUUGGGAGAGGGAUGCGGAAUUCCAGGUGUAGCGGUGAAAUGCGUAGAUAUUAGGAGGAACACCAGUGGCGAAGGCGGCUUACUGGACGGUAACUGACGUUGAGGCUCGAAAGCGUGGGGAGCAAACA